GGCGGUCUGCUUAACACAUGCAAGUCGAACGCAACCUUCGGGUUGAGUGGCGGACGGGUGAGUCACGCGUGAGAAUCUGCCUUGGGGUCGGGGACAACCACUGGAGACGGUGGCUAAUACCGGAUAAGCCUUUGGGUAAAAAAUUUAUUGCCCCAAGAGGAGCUCGCGUCUGAUUAGCUAGUUGGUGAGGUAAAAGCUCACCAAGGCAGCGAUCAGUAGCUGGUCUGAGAGGACGAUCAGCCACACUGGGACUGAGACACGGCCCAGACUCCUACGGGAGGCAGCAGUGGGGAAUUUUCCGCAAUGGGCGAAAGCCUGACGGAGCAAGACCGCGUGAGGGAGGAAGGCUCUUGGGUUGUAAACCUCUUUUCUCAGGGAAGAAGCUCUGACGGUACCUGAGGAAUCAGCCUCGGCUAACUCCGUGCCAGCAGCCGCGGUAAUACGGAGGAGGCAAGCGUUAUCCGGAAUUAUUGGGCGUAAAGCGUCCGCAGGUGGCGAUUCAAGUCUGCUGUCAAAGCACGGGGCUUAACUCCGUUAAGGCAGUGGAAACUGAAUAGCUAGAGUGCCGUAGGGGUAGAGGGAAUUCCCGGUGUAGCGGUGAAAUGCGUAGAGAUCGGGAAGAACAUCGGUGGCGAAAGCGCUCUACUGGACGGCAACUGACACUCAGGGACGAAAGCUAGGGGAGCGAAUGGGAUUAGAUACCCCAGUAGUCCUAGCUGUAAACGAUGGAUACUAGGUGUAGCUUGUAUCGACCCGAGCUGUGCCGAAGCUAACGCGUUAAGUAUCCCGCCUGGGGAGUACGCACGCAAGUGUGAAACUCAAAGGAAUUGACGGGGGCCCGCACAAGCGGUGGAGUAUGUGGUUUAAUUCGAUGCAACGCGAAGAACCUUACCAGGGCUUGACAUGUCCGGAAUCCCGGUGAAAGCUGGGAGUGCCUUCGGGAGCCGGAACACAGGUGGUGCAUGGCUGUCGUCAGCUCGUGUCGAGAGAUGUUGGGUUAAGUCCCGCAACGAGCGCAACCCUCGUCCUUAGUUGCCAGCAUUAAGUUGNGCACUCUAGAGAGACUGCCGGUGACAAACCGGAGGAAGGUGGGGAUGACGUCAAGUCAGCAUGCCCCUUACGCUCUGGGCGACACACGUACUACAAUGGUCGGGACAGA
rnacentral:rRNA from 1 species